AAAAAUAAAAAUACCUCGAGAAUAUAUAUUUACUUAAGAUCAAUUGCGGAGUUUAAUAUUUAAACAGAAAGAAGAGACUGUAAUCAGAAAAAAAACGACGUCGAUGCAGAUUGAAGUAACCAAGGUGUCAAGUGCUGUUAGCUGUUUUAUUCAAUGUUUUAAAAAUGGGCGAAUGUAAACAAUUGGUUAGUGAUUCCAAACUGGGAGCAACGUUAUUCCAGCAAGCUGAAGAGAGCUCGAAGUUUUGUGACGUCAUCAUCGUAUAUGGUCAGCCAGGUGACAUGAAACAAAUAUGGGCCCACUGGUGUGUGCUGGUAUAAUGUCCGUACUUUGACGCCAUGUACAGGUGUGGAUUACAAGAAAAACAGCAGGGAAAGAUAUUUAUUACAGAGUCUUUACACGAAGAAGCAGUUAGAGUAGUUAUUGGGUUUCUUUAUACUGGAGAGUUUAAUUUGGACUAUCGAAUUAUUGGAGAAGUACUUAAUGCAGCGGACUAUUUUCAAUUUGGCGACGUUCUCACUAUUUGCAAAAAGUACUUGUUAACUUUGCCACUGACAGCAGAAAAUGGUGUCGAGGUUUUGAAAAUGGCUGGUCGUUACAAUUUUGAAGAUCUUCAGACGCGUUCAAUUACAUUCAUAACUAACAAUUUGAUUCAUAUUAUUGAACACCCAGCCAAUAGUAAAGCUAUGACUGACAUGAUGAUGCAACAAAUAUGGGACCAAGCAAACCGUGACAGAAAAUGUCAAAUGCUCUUUUUAAUUUCUGCCGAACCUAGCUUUGUUGUGAUGGACAGAAUCGCAAAGAAACAUUUGAAAAGUUGUUCUGCUCUUUAAACCUGAACGAAACGAGUCACGAAUUCUUUCAAUCUUUAUCAUAUGACUAUGUCCAAACGUUAAAAAAAUGCCGUAAAUUGUAUGUACAUUUAAACAGUCAAAUCUUACAAGCUAGACUAACAUUUACAGCGGACACAAUUGGCGUUGUUUUACUUGUAGCAAAGAUUCCGCAGCUACAAAAAUCAGGAGGAAUAUAUGCAACCGCGAUAGGCGACGAACGUUGGUCCUUUCUUACAAGAUUACCACGGGAACUUCGAGAAUUCGACUACUACAAUGAUAGAUAUUGCCUUGGUGUUGACCCACUUGGGAAAUUCAUUUACAUUAUUAGGCAAAGAGAGCACUAUAUAAGUAACCAUUCAGCUGUUUUGGAAAUCCCUUCUCAUAAAUACGAUUGUGAACUAAAUACGUGGGCGCUUGAGACAUACACACUUACUAUUAAGGAUGAAAGACAGGUCAAAAUUGAGGGAAUAGUUUGUGUUAAAACUGGGACGUUUCUUAUUGCAGAGACUGUGAUGCGUAAACGGCGGUGUAAAAACGUACAAUUAUUAGCAUGUCGCGAGGACACGACCCUUGUGGAGGUGGCUUUAGUACCAAAUAUUUGCAAACGAUGGUACAGUAGUUGUGAUAUAAAAUAUUGUGUUGUUGGAGACAGUUGUAUUAUAGUGUUGUGUACCGGAAUUGAAAUCGGACAAAUGACAAUAAAAAUAUCCGUAACGAAUACAAACAUGCCUCAAACUUAUAUUUGUAAAACGAUCAAAGAAUCGCAUAUUGGAUACAAUGCCAGGUUUGCAACACAUGAAAUGUUGUACUCAAACGGGAAACGUGGCAUUAUUUCCUGUUUUGGCAGCGAUCAUCACAGAGAAGUGAGUAUUUCGCCAGUUAAGUGUACGACAGUUGAAGGCGAAGUUCUUAGCAGAUACGGGGGCGAUGAGGAAGGGCUGCAACUAGAUAAUAUUGUAACGGGAAAUGGUGAAAAUGUUGUCUCUGUAUACGACAAGCGAACACAAACGUUACGAGUUAUUGACUGCAUCACAAAGGAACAGCAUCUGGCACCACCAUUUCCAUACGAAUUUCAGGACUGCACAUUGGUCCUUGCGAACCUGGCGGCCAGAUUACUUAAGUGUCGCAUCGACUGUCCACAUUGUUUGUUUGAAAUCAAAUCCGAUAUUAAUUAGUUUUGAGCACGAAACUGAUACAUAAACACGGUAUAUUUGUGGAAAUUGCACAUGUUCAAAAAUGCGAUAGGAUUGUUUCUUUUGUCAUUAGUAGACAAUAAAAGCGUUUCAGUAAUUAACAGUCUCAAAGAUUGUAAAAUGCUUUUAUUUAUAUGACUGUGGUCAACAGUCAAGUAUUGAGAAGCGAAACUAGACAUUUACUCAGCUCAUUUCUUCUCUUCUGAAAGUUCUUUUUUGACAGUUUAAAGACAUGUAUUAUUGUUUUUAUAUUUGAACUGUGUUUCUUUUCAUCAAACUGAGACGUAUCAAUAGUCGCAUGUAUUGUUUGAUUUACCUUUAGUUAAUUUCUCAGGGUGACAAUGAUUUUACGAAUUAAUCUGUUUGUGGUGCAAACCUUUAUACAUUUGUGAUAAGUUUUGUCCGUGCGUAAUUUUUUCUUCAAUGUCUAAACGUAUGGCAAUAACUCAAAUCUUAUAGACACAAUUGAAACCGUGGAUGGAAAGAUACGCGAAGACUCUGUGUUCAUUUUGCUUGUAUGCAAUUGAAUAAAUAUACUCAAGAUCAAUAAA